GCUGUGAUGAACAAUUUUGGAAUUGAUCCACAAAAUGAAAAUAAAUCAAUACCUCUGAGAAGUUCUGAGCUU